CAAAGGCCCCAAAGGAAGCCACGGCUAACUCUGUGCCAGCAGCCGCGGUAAUACAGAGGUGGCAAGCGUUGUUCGGUAUUAUUGGGCGUAAAGAGCACGUAGGUGGUUCUGUAAGUCAGAUGUGAAAGCCUUCUGUUCAAAGGAGGAACGGCAUCUGAAACUACAGAUCUUGAGUGUAGGAGGGGAGAGUGGAACUUCUGGUGGAGCGGUGAAAUGCGUAGAUAUCAGAAGGAACGUCGGCGGCGAAAGCGACUCUCUGGCCUAUUACUGACACUGAGUGUGCGAAAGUUAGGGGAGCAAACGGGAUUAGAUACCCCGGUAGUCCUAACUGUAAA
rnacentral:rRNA from 1 species